rnacentral:rRNA from 1 species
UACGGAGGGUGCAAGCGUUGUUCGGAAUCACUGGGCGUAAAGCGCGUGUAGGCGGCCUCCUAAGUCUGAUGUGAAAGCCCGGGGCUCACCCCCGGAAGUGCAUUGGAUACUGGGAGGCUGGAGUACCGGAGAGGAGGGUGGAAUUCCUGGUGUAGCGGUGAAAUGCGUAGAUAUUCGGAAGAACACCAGUGGCGAAGGCGACUUACUGGACAACUGUUGACGCUGAGGUGCGAAAGCGUGGGGAGCAAACAGG